GACGAACGCUGGCGGCGUGCCUAAUACAUGCAAGUCGAACGAGAGCGACCGGUGCUUGCACUGGUCAAUCUAGUGGCGAACGGGUGAGUAACACGUGGGUAACCUGCCCAUCAGAGGGGGAUAAAAUCGGGAAAGGGAGGCUAAAACGGAAUAGGUCUCGGAACGGAAGGGUUGGAGGAGGAAAAGAGGGGAAGGCUUCGGCGGAGGGAGGGACCCGCGGUGCAUUAGCUAGUGGGUGAGGUAACGGCUCACCAAGGCCGGGAUGCAUAGCCGACCUGAGAGGGUGAUCGGCCACAUUGGGACUGAGACACGGCCCAAACUCCUACGGGAGGCAGCAGUAGGGAAUCUUCCGCAAUGGACGCAAGUCUGACGGAGCAACGCCGCGUGAGUGAAGAAGGUUUUCGGAUCGUAAAACUCUGUUGUUAGAGAAGAACAAGUGCUAGAGUAACUGUUAGCGCCUUGACGGUAUCUAACCAGAAAGCCACGGCUAACUACGUG
rnacentral:rRNA from 1 species